UACAGAGGUCCCAAGCGUUGUUCGGAUUCAUUGGGCGUAAAGGGUGUGUAGGUGGCGCCGUAAGUCGGGUGUGAAAUUUCGGAGCUUAACUCCGAACCUGCAUUCGAUACUGCGGUGCUUGAGGACUGGAGAGGAGACUGGAAUUCAUGGUGUAGCAGUGAAAUGCGUAGAGAUCGGGAGGAACAUCUGUGGCGAAGGCGACUGCCUGGACCAGCACUGACACUGAGGCACGAAAGCGUGGGGAGCAAACAGG
rnacentral:rRNA from 1 species